UACGAAGGGUGCAAGCGUUACUCGGAAUUACUGGGCGUAAAGCGUGCGUAGGUGGUGAGUUAAGUCUGUCGUGAAAGCCCCGGGCUCAACCUGGGAAUGGCGAUGGAUACUGGCUCGCUAGAGUGCGGUAGAGGAGAGUGGAAUUCCCGGUGUAGCAGUGAAAUGCGUAGAGAUCGGGAGGAACAUCAGUUGCGAAGGCGGCUUCCUGGACCGGUUCUGACACUGAGGAGCGAAAGCGUGGGGAGCGAUCCGG
rnacentral:rRNA from 1 species